rnacentral:rRNA from 1 species
UACGUAGGUGGCGAGCGUUGUCCGGAUUUACUGGGCGUAAAGGGCGUGCAGGCGGUUUGUUAAGUGCAGGGUGAAAGCUCCCGGCUCAACUGGGAGAGGUCCUUGCAUACUGGCGAACUCGAGGGAGGCAGAGGAAAGUGGAAUUCCCGGUGUAGUGGUGAUAUGCGUAGAUAUCAGGAGGAACACCGGUGGUGUAGACAGCUUACUGGACCAUUUCUGACGCUGAGACACGAAAGCGUGGGUAGCAAACAGG